rnacentral:misc_RNA from 1 species
ACAUAUUGAAAAUAAAAUGAGAGAGUCGUUUAAGAUAGUUUGGUCAUGUACAAAGCAGAGAAUCAAAUGCCCUAAUAGGGAAGAUUAGUAGGAGGAGUGAAAAGAGGAAGAGGAAGACCUAAGAUCAAGCGAAGGGAACUAGUAUCAAUGAGAUUUACAAGUUAUAGAUAUUGAUCCGGACUUGGUAUCUAAUAGAACUGAAUUAUGAAAAAA